rnacentral:rRNA from 1 species
UCGGCGGACGGGGUAAGUAACGCGUGAGGCAAUACUGUCCUUCCUCGGUUCAUCGGGAUAACAUUUAGAAAUAGGUGCUAAUACCGAAUAAGACCACGAUGCGGCAUCGCAUUGGGGUAAAAAGGUUACUGGACAGAGAUGGGCUCGCGUCCGAUUAGGUAGUUGGUGAGGUAACGGCCCACCAAGCCGACGAUCGGUAGCCGGACUGAGAGGUUGAACGGCCACAUUGGGACUGAGACACGGCCCAGACCCCUACGGGAGGCAGCAG